GACGAACGCUGGCGGCGUGCUUAACACAUGCAAGUCGAACGAUGAAGCCGGAGCUUGCUCUGGUGAAUUAGUGGCGAACGGGUGAGUAACACGUGAGUAACCUGCCCUUGACUCUGGGAUAACUGCGGGAAACUGUAGCUAAUACCGGAUACGACCCUCGGAGGCAUCUCCUGGGGGUGGAAAGAAUUUCGGUCAAGGAUGGACUCGCGGCCAAUCAGCUAGUUGGUGAGGUAACGGCUCACCAAGGCGACGACGGGUAGCCGGCCUGGGAGGGUGACCGGCCACACUGGGACUGAGACACGGCCCAGACUCCUACGGGAGGCAGCAGUGGGGAAUAUUGCACAAUGGGCGCAAGCCUGAUGCAGCAACGCCGCGUGAGGGAUGACGGCCUUCGGGUUGUAAACCUCUUUUAGUAGGGAAGAAGCGAAAGUGACGGUACCUGCAGAAAAAGCACCGGCUAACUACGUGCCAGCCGCCGCAGUAA
rnacentral:rRNA from 1 species